UAAGAGGGAGAAUCUGUGGACCUCGAAGACCAUUUCUUGGAUCAAAUGCAAUCUGAAUGACCCCAGUGGAUCAUCUUGCAAACUCUGUGGAAUGUUUGGAGACCUUGCUCUACCUAUAGUUCUAAACAGGACACCGAAAGUGACCUUCUCAUGUUUUUAUUUGUUAUGAGCUCUGGUCCAUCCCUGAAGAAAUUAAUGGGACCUAGUAUUGUGAUUCACAUGCCCCAUCCUAAGAGUGAUGAAUGGUGUUGUCAGAUCUUCUUGAAGUACAUGGACUGAAAACAGCAUGUUUUCCAGAGGAGAACUAGAAGGGUGGAGGUAAGUUUAAGAAAACCAUUACUUAUCCACUACACAUCCUUUCUCUGCACCCAGUUUC
rnacentral:lncRNA from 1 species